rnacentral:misc_RNA from 1 species
UUGAAUUUUAAUGAAGAGUUUGGUUGUAGCUGGCCCAUUCAUUUGGGCAUGUGCACACCUUUCUCUUUCAUCCCACACACACCUGUGAACCUGUGAGACAGAGAUGGGGAAUUUACUUGCUGCUUUUUGGAAUACAAAGGCAAUAGGUUAUUGGACCCCCCCUCUGUCUACUCAAUUAAUAUAAACUCAAUUUAUUUUAAAACGAAUGUAAUGGAUGUAACACAUCUCAUAC